rnacentral:rRNA from 1 species
GAGCGGUAACAGGCGUAGCAAUACGUGCUGACGAGCGGCGAACGGGUGAGUAACGCUUCGGAAUCUGCCCAAUGGUGGGGAAUAACCAGCCGAAAGGUUGGCUAAUACCGCAUGAGCCCUACGGGGGAAAGCGGGGGAUCGUAAGACCUCGCGCCGAUGGAUGAGCCGAAGCCGGAUUAGCUAGUUGGUAGGGUAACGGCCUACCAAGGCGACGAUCCGUAGCUGGUCUGAGAGGACGACCAGCCACACUGGGACUGAGACACGGCCCAGACUCCUACGGGAGGCAGCAGUGGGGAAUAUUGGACAAUGGGGGCAACCCUGAUCCAGCCAUGCCGCGUGAGUGAUGAAGGCCUUCGGGUUGUAAAGCUCUUUUGGCGGGGACGAUGAUGACGGUACCCGCAGAAUAAGCCCCGGCUAACUUCGUG